rnacentral:rRNA from 1 species
UUAAGCGACUAAGCGUACACGGUGGAUGCCCUGGCAGUCAGAGGCGAUGAAGGACGUGCUAAUCUGCGAUAAGCGUCGGUAAGGUGAUAUGAACCGUUAUAACCGGCGAUUUCCGAAUGGGGAAACCCAGUGUGUUUCGACACACUAUCAUUAACUGAAUCCAUAGGUUAAUGAGGCGAACCGGGGGAACUGAAACAUCUAAGUACCCCGAGGAAAAGAAAUCAACCGAGAUUCCCCCAGUAGCGGCGAGCGAACGGGGAGCAGCCCAGAGCCUGAAUCAGUGUGUGUGUUAGUGGAAGCGUCUGGAAAGGCGCGCGAUACAGGGUGACAGCCCCGUACACAAAAAUGCACAUGCUGUGAGCUCGAUGAGUAGGGCGGGACACGUGGUAUCCUGUCUGAAUAUGGGGGGACCAUCCUCCAAGGCUAAAUACUCCUGACUGACCGAUAGUGAACCAGUACCGUGAGGGAAAGGCGAAAAGAACCCCGGCGAGGGGAGUGAAAAAGAACCUGAAACCGUGUACGUACAAGCAGUGGGAGCACGCUUAGGCGUGUGACUGCGUACCUUUUGUAUAAUGGGUCAGCGACUUAUAUUCUGUAGCAAGGUUAACCGAAUAGGGGAGCCGAAGGGAAACCGAGUCUUAACUGGGCGUUAAGUUGCAGGGUAUAGACCCGAAACCCGGUGAUCUAGCCAUGGGCAGGUUGAAGGUUGGGUAACACUAACUGGAGGACCGAACCGACUAAUGUUGAAAAAUUAGCGGAUGACUUGUGGCUGGGGGUGAAAGGCCAAUCAAACCGGGAGAUAGCUGGUUCUCCCCGAAAGCUAUUUAGGUAGCGCCUCGUGAAUUCAUCUCCGGGGGUAGAGCACUGUUUCGGCAAGGGGGUCAUCCCGACUUACCAACCCGAUGCAAACUGCGAAUACCGGAGAAUGUUAUCACGGGAGACACACGGCGGGUGCUAACGUCCGUCGUGAAGAGGGAAACAACCCAGACCGCCAGCUAAGGUCCCAAAGUCAUGGUUAAGUGGGAAACGAUGUGGGAAGGCCCAGACAGCCAGGAUGUUGGCUUAGAAGCAGCCAUCAUUUAAAGAAAGCGUAAUAGCUCACUGGUCGAGUCGGCCUGCGCGGAAGAUGUAACGGGGCUAAACCAUGCACCGAAGCUGCGGCAGCGACGCUUAUGCGUUGUUGGGUAGGGGAGCGUUCUGUAAGCCUGCGAAGGUGUGCUGUGAGGCAUGCUGGAGGUAUCAGAAGUGCGAAUGCUGACAUAAGUAACGAUAAAGCGGGUGAAAAGCCCGCUCGCCGGAAGACCAAGGGUUCCUGUCCAACGUUAAUCGGGGCAGGGUGAGUCGACCCCUAAGGCGAGGCCGAAAGGCGUAGUCGAUGGGAAACAGGUUAAUAUUCCUGUACUUGGUGUUACUGCGAAGGGGGGACGGAGAAGGCUAUGUUGGCCGGGCGACGGUUGUCCCGGUUUAAGCGUGUAGGCUGGUUUUCCAGGCAAAUCCGGAAAAUCAAGGCUGAGGCGUGAUGACGAGGCACUACGGUGCUGAAGCAACAAAUGCCCUGCUUCCAGGAAAAGCCUCUAAGCAUCAGGUAACAUCAAAUCGUACCCCAAACCGACACAGGUGGUCAGGUAGAGAAUACCAAGGCGCUUGAGAGAACUCGGGUGAAGGAACUAGGCAAAAUGGUGCCGUAACUUCGGGAGAAGGCACGCUGAUAUGUAGGUGAAGCGACUUGCUCGUGGAGCUGAAAUCAGUCGAAGAUACCAGCUGGCUGCAACUGUUUAUUAAAAACACAGCACUGUGCAAACACGAAAGUGGACGUAUACGGUGUGACGCCUGCCCGGUGCCGGAAGGUUAAUUGAUGGGGUUAGCGCAAGCGAAGCUCUUGAUCGAAGCCCCGGUAAACGGCGGCCGUAACUAUAACGGUCCUAAGGUAGCGAAAUUCCUUGUCGGGUAAGUUCCGACCUGCACGAAUGGCGUAAUGAUGGCCAGGCUGUCUCCACCCGAGACUCAGUGAAAUUGAACUCGCUGUGAAGAUGCAGUGUACCCGCGGCAAGACGGAAAGACCCCGUGAACCUUUACUAUAGCUUGACACUGAACAUUGAGCCUUGAUGUGUAGGAUAGGUGGGAGGCUUNGAAGUGUGGACGCCAGUCUGCAUGGAGCCGACCUUGAAAUACCACCCUUUAAUGUUUGAUGUUCUAACGUUGACCCGUAAUCCGGGUUGCGGACAGUGUCUGGUGGGUAGUUUGACUGGGGCGGUCUCCUCCUAAAGAGUAACGGAGGAGCACGAAGGUUGGCUAAUCCUGGUCGGACAUCAGGAGGUUAGUGCAAUGGCAUAAGCCAGCUUGACUGCGAGCGUGACGGCGCGAGCAGGUGCGAAAGCAGGUCAUAGUGAUCCGGUGGUUCUGAAUGGAAGGGCCAUCGCUCAACGGAUAAAAGGUACUCCGGGGAUAACAGGCUGAUACCGCCCAAGAGUUCAUAUCGACGGCGGUGUUUGGCACCUCGAUGUCGGCUCAUCACAUCCUGGGGCUGAAGUAGGUCCCAAGGGUAUGGCUGUUCGCCAUUUAAAGUGGUACGCGAGCUGGGUUUAGAACGUCGUGAGACAGUUCGGUCCCUAUCUGCCGUGGGCGCUGGAGAACUGAGGGGGGCUGCUCCUAGUACGAGAGGACCGGAGUGGACGCAUCACUGGUGUUCGGGUUGUCAUGCCAAUGGCACUGCCCGGUAGCUAAAUGCGGAAGAGAUAAGUGCUGAAAGCAUCUAAGCACGAAACUUGCCCCGAGAUGAGUUCUCCCUGACNNNNNNNNNGUCCUGAAGGAACGUUGAAGACGACGACGUUGAUAGGCCGGGUGUGUAAGCGCAGCGAUGCGUUGAGCUAACCGGUACUAAUGAACCGUGAGGCUUAACCUU